AUGAACGCUGGCGGCGUGCCUAAUACAUGCAAGUCGCGCGAACAGACGAGGAGCUUGCUCCUCUGACGUUAGCGGCGGACGGGUGAGUAACACGUGGAUAACCUACCUAUAAGACUGGGAUAACUUCGGGAAACCGGAGCUAAUACCGGAUAAUAUAUUGAACCGCAUGGUUCAAUAGUGAAAGACGGUUCUGCUGUCACUUAUAGAUGGAUCCGCGCCGCAUUAGCUAGUUGGUAAGGUAACGGCUUACCAAGGCAACGAUGAGUAGCCGACCUGAGAGGGUGAUCGGCCACACUGGAACUGGGACACGGUCCAGACUCCUACGGGAGGCAGCAGUAGGGAAUCUUCCGCAAUGGGCGAAAGCUUGACGGAGCAACGCCGCGUGAGUGAUGAAGGUCUUCGGAUCGUAAAACUCUGUUAUUAGGGAAGAACAAAUGUGUAAGUAACUAUGCACGUCUUGACGGUACCUAAUCAGAAAGCCACGGCUAACUACGUG
rnacentral:rRNA from 1 species